CCAACCUGCCGCUUACUCGGGGAUAGCCUUUCGAAAGAAAGAUUAAUACCCGAUGGUAUAAAGAGUUCGCAUGUUUCUCUUUAUUAAAGAAUUUCGGUAAGCGAUGGGGAUGCGUUCCAUUAGAUAGUUGGCGGGGUAACGGCCCACCAAAGUCUACGAUGGAUAGGGGGUUCUGAGAGGAAGGUCCCCCACAUUGGAACUGAGACACGGUCCAAACUCCUACGGGAGGCAGCAGUGAGGAAUAUUGGUCAAUGGACGAGAGUCUGAACCAGCCAAGUAAGCGUGAAGGAUGACUGCCUAUGGGUUGUAAACUUCUUUUAUAAGGGAAUAAAGUGAGGGACGUGUCCCUUUUUGUAUGUACCUUAUGAAUAAGGAUCGGCUAACUCCGUGCCAGCCGCCGC
rnacentral:rRNA from 1 species